UACGUAGGUGGCAAGCGUUUGUCCGGAUUUACUGGGCGUUAAAGAGCGCGCAGGCGGCUGGUCAAGUCCGAUGUGAAAAUCUCCCGGCUUAACUGGGAAACUGCAUCGGAAACUGAUCGGCUUGAAGGUGGGAGAGGGUAGUGGAAUUCCCGGUGUAGUGGUGAAAUGCGUAGAUAUCGGGAGGAACACCAGUGGCGAAGGCGACUACCUGGCCCAUUCUUGACGCUGAGGCGCGAAAGCUAGGGGAGCGAACGGGG
rnacentral:rRNA from 1 species